rnacentral:rRNA from 1 species
AUUCCAGCUCCAAUAGCGUAUAUUAAUGUUGUUGCAGUUAAAAAGCUCGUAGUUGGAUUCCUGGCCUGGGGUAGCCGGUCCGCCUUGCAAAAGGUGCGCACUGAGCGGCCUCGGCCAUCCUUGGGAAGAGCAGUCCUGGCAUUCAGUUGUCGGGGUUGGGAUUCCCGACGUUUACUGUGAAAAAAUCAGAGUGUUCAACGCAGGCUUACGCCUUGAAUACAUUAGCAUGGAAUAAUGAGAUAGGACCUUGGCGGUCUAUUUUGUUGGUUUGCACGCCGAGGUAAUGAUUAAAAGGGACGGUUGGGGUUCUUCGUAUUCAAUUGUCAGAGGUGAAAUUCUUGGAUUUAUGGAAGACGAACUGCUGCGAAAGCGUCGAACAAGGACGUUCUCAUUA